UUUUUUUUUGUUUUUUUUAAAACAAAAUUCCAACUUUAUUCAUUUGUAAUAGUUAGUACAUCGUUUGUGAGAAACAUUACAAUUUUCGUUUAAAGGCUCCUCAAACCAAUCAGAAGCCAAAGAAAAUCUAGCUAAUCCAGCAAGCUCAUGAACUACUUUAUUUACUUCCCUAUUACAAUGCUCAAAUCUAACCGUAACGAAAUCACAGGCAUAAUGAAAACAGUCUUCGAAGAUUGCUGCCGCCGCACUCGCCGACUGCCCUCCAUCAUUCAUAGACUCAAAUCACCUCCAUAUUAUCCGAAUUUACGAUAAUGCGGUUGCAUCCCGCCCUUUGCGCCAAAGUUAGACCAAAUUUAAGAGCUCUAGCCUCCGCCAUCAGCACAUCCGCGCAAAAAAUCUAUUCUCUCAUUGCCUCCGGCAAUAAACCUGCCUUUGUCAUCUCUGAGGAUUGCUCCCAUUGUACCCCUGGGAAGGUCGUGAUCAAAAGAAGCAUCAACGUUGAGUUUAACAAAACCUCUUGAAGGGCAAGAACAGUUGAGUGCAAAGCGACCGUGCCGGAGAAAAGAAAAAGGAAAAAAAAAGGUCUCCACCUAAGGCCAACUCCAACGCAGUACACCAUCUCAUCCACAUGUGUCCAUUUUGACUCAAACGGACACAUGUGACGGCUCAACGUGCGACCACAUAUGUAAAUAUUGUCCGCUUCGCAUCCGGCCUGCCACAUUUCCACACCAAAAUUGUUCCUGGUUUGCGUCCAGACGCGCGCACUCGCUUCUCGCCCGCCCCGGGGACCCGUGGGGGCCGUCCACCUACCUCCACCGCCCAAAUUAACUAUGCAUGCAUGGUGGGCCCUGUCUGUCAGCCACCCAGCUGCCCCGGUCGUCGUCCUUCUUAAUGUGGAAGCCGUGGACCGGCUAGUCCACGGCUUCCACUCCCUAGCCCGUCUACCUUCUCGAGCCCCGACACGAGCUCGUAAACCCUAGCCGCCCACACAUUCCUCUCAUCCACCUCCUCGUCGGCGCCAUGUGGUGGCAUUGGAUCAUCAAGGGGAAGCACGACCAUGAGACCGGCUGCUGCUCCACCAGCCCCGCGUCGCCCGUGUUUGCCAUUCCGGAGCUGGACGUGCCCGUGAAGAGGUGGUUGAGGAGUCGCCCGUCGCCGCGUGGAACCUACGCUUGGUGGGCCAGAGGUGGAGCUGGUCGUCCACGGCAUCGAAGAUGGCCGACACGGUGGGUGUUGGGCCAUGGUUACCCACGUCGCCACGGUAACCAGAGCAGGAGCCGUCGCCACUGGAGGAGGUGUUGCAGGCGCCUCAGGCCUAGCAACCACUACAGGGGCCACUGGCCCACCUCUUGUUAUUGUCUUACUAUCACAUUUUCGUUACUAUGAGCAUUCUUAUCAAUUUGAGCAUUUUUAGGAUUACAUAGCCCAAGCGAGGUACCAACAACUGUCAAGAUCGAAAGGAAAAUCGGUUGGCCUCCAACAUCGUUGGAAUUUGCUGGAAGGCCACAAGUAGUGAAAGUUAAUUAAGGAAUGAUGACGACAAUCCAAAAAUUGGGAAUUGCAACAAUUCCUCUCCGGUGAUAGAGGACCGUGAAGAAGAAGAAUAUGAUGGAGAGGAAAGGGAAAGGGUGCCUAGAAGUCCUACUCCGACGUCUAGCGUAGAUCGGCCCGACAUAAGGAAGAAAAGAAAAUAGAUUCUCAAGAGAGAAGGAGAGGUGGGGGCGAUGAAAAGAAAAGACCGGUGAGUUGAUGCAGACAAGAAAAGUGCACGCCGAGCCGAGAAUAGUUGGUAAGAAAAGCCAGCGAUGGAGGAGAAGAACAUCCAAGAGAAGAGGGUUAUAUGUGAUGCUAUGCAAGAUAGAACUAACGAUGUCGGAAAGAGAUGGAGGUGCGUAGGCUCGAAAAUUUAGAUGCGUCGGGCGACAACUGAACAGGUAUCGAAGGACAAUUGGUUGACAAGUUGGAUUCAAACAUGACGGAUCUAGUGGCGUGGCAAUUUCGGGACAAGACAUGAACGAUGGUCAUACAUUUCAGUAACCCCGGAGAAGGAGACGGUGCACACGUUGAAGGAGAGGGGACGAUGCACGCACGCUAACAACAUGUUAUUUGUACGCCUCGCUGGUUUUUAAGUGCUUUCUUUUUCAUGUAACUUGUUAAAAAAUUGUGUGCAUGUUUGGUUGAUAUGCUAAACGUUUAAAUAUUAAGCCAAUCAAAGUGCGAAAUGAGCGAAAUGAAGAAUAAUCAAAGCCUAUAUGAAUCAACCUGAGCAACCUAGCUAGGUGCACACCGGCAAACAAACAAACAAAAAAUCCUACUAGUAUCUCACACAAAGAUGAUGAUGAUGAUGAUGAUGGUCCCUGUGCGCCCGUGCGUGGCAGGUUGAUGGAUCGAGGCUUAUUCCUGGUACUAGGAGCAAAGAUUGCUCUCAAAAGCCUCGUGACGACAGGAUAAUCGAGUCACAUCUUGGGUACGUAAGGGAGUAGCUAAGUACGUAGGCGGUCAAGUACAUCUUGGGUACGUAAGGGAGUACAAUGGGAGCGACUGUAAAACCUUGACCAACCGAGGCAUGCCACCAACCGACGCCAUCGCAUUCCGUCCGACCAGACCGUCUGUCUGCCGAUUCGCUCAGAUGUACUGUACGCAGCACAAGUUCUCACGUACCUUUCUUGGAAUAAAGAGCAGGAAGAAUCACGCACAGGGUAGACUGCAAGGUGGCGCCACACCCCUGCGCCGGAGCCCAAAUGAUGCGUCGUCGCCAUUGCCAAUGCCAAUGCACGGCGCACUCCAAAGGCUAGCUGCCGUUGUGCAAAGAUGCUACAGCACGUGAGAGCGUGGACCAUCCAUCCAGCCCCAGCACAUUUGCGAGGUGGGCACAAAGCUAGCUGUUGUCCGCGCCCGCCCAGAGAGAAGAAAAGGCGAAGAAAAGCACCUCCUCCCUUCCUUCUUCAGCCCUCGUGCCAACUCCGCAGCGGGACCCUAUUUAUCCAGCUUCAUUUAUUUGGGAUAAAAGGGACAAACCGGUUGGCCCAGCGCGCGACGGCGUAGACUCAUCUAGUCCGUUUUAUAUUCGGGCCGACCCAUUCCGAAAGCAAACAUGCGUCGGAUUUGGGUCGCGGCGAAUAGCAAACAGACGCGUUGCUCGUCCGCGUCGGGGCCACGUGGCAGGCGGCCACCUACCUCCCACCCACCAACAUCAAUGCGCACGCGCGGCCGGUCCCACCUGUCAUCCGCCCAGGCGAACGGUCGCGGUCCUUCUUAAAUGGGGAAGCCGUGGACCGGUCGUCGUCCACACUCCCCACUCCACCCCGCGGCCUCCUCGAUACCCGGCAGCACCAAACCCUAGCCUCGAACUCGCCGGCCGGCCGCCUCGCAGCCAUGGGGCUCUUGAACUACAGCCGCAAGGGGAAGCACAACCGUGAGGAUAGGUACGCCCCCAACUCCGUGCUCUGGGACACGUGGCUCCAGGACGAGCACGACGUGCGGCGCGCCUCCUACUUCGUCGGCACGACAUCGGGGCUGCGCCGGCCACGUCAGGAGGUGCGUGGCCUCACACCCACGCCGUCGCCUUCCCUGUCUCCGUCACCACCUCCACCUCCUCGCAUGACAGUAGAGGAGAAGGCCCGACUCAUGCAGCGUGUCAUGGAGGACUCCAUGAACACACGUGAUGAGUGCCAAUGGCCGGGCAUAAAGGAGACGAUGGCCCUCUCUGUGGCCGGUGACGUCGCCAUCCCCGAGCUGGAGAUAGUGGUAGCGAAGAAGGUGAUGAAGGAGGCGCCGGUGGCCGCGUUCCACCUGGGCUUGCUGGGCCAACAGUGGAGCUAGUCCUGCACAGCUCCGGAGAUGGCGCACGCCAUGGGGUCGUGAACUGGUGCCCUACGCUGUCGCGGUCACCGGAGCGGGACGCGUCGCCACGAGAGGAGGUGGUGCAGGCACCUGCCACCUUCCAGCCCGCCCCGGUGCACCACGGAUCGCCGACCCACCUCUGGACGCCGCCCGACUACGUCGACCUCGUCAGCGACGAUGACGACACCAGCGGCCACAGAAGACGGCGACGGUCACGUCAUCGACGGGCGCGGCAGGAGCGCGCGGGCAGCGUUUUUUAUUUUGUUUUUAUGUUAAUUAUGGCACUGGGCCGUUAAGUGAACCAUGGAACUGGGCCGUUCUGUGGCGGUGACCCCUAACUGACGUUUUAAGUUUUUUUAACUGCGUUAUUUACUUUUUUAGUUAUUUUAUUUUAGUUUUUAUGUUUUUUUGUCACGUUCAACACGGACAUGAUUUGAGGUGCGGCCGCGCGCUGGACGCACCCACGACCCAACGGACAAAGACAGACAUGAACGAACCCAUUGCCGUUCCAAAUGGACAAAAUCCAGCCAAACCAGACGUCCGUUUGGAGUUGGCCUCAGGGAUCAUCAAUGGAGCUGGAGGUGGCAUUGCAGCUAGAGUGGAGGUAGAGCUACAAAAGGGGGCGGUACAGUGCAGGGGACCAAAAAGGUUGAGAUGGAUUUGGGCGGCCUCAGCAGUGGAUGCUUUUAGUCUCGGGAAAAAAAUAGACAUUAAGGUGCGGUCUGCUGAUCUGUUUGCUUGUUGUAGACUGAGACUAGUGGGAUCGCCUCGCCCUGUCCCCCCCUCCCCCCACCACCACCCUAUGCGCCCCGCCCCCACCAACUCCACUCCACUCCAAUCUUAAGACCACUACUCUCAUCUCAUCUCCACAUGAUUGACUCUGGACCUUCUCUCUAUCCUGCACGCAAGCUUCAGAUUCAUUCUAGUACUCCUAGUUAGUAGCAGCUGUUUGAACAGCACAGUGCACCACAUGCCAGGCACCUCAUAAUUCAAUCCUCAUACCAGCAAUGCCAUACUACCACUUCACACACUCGACACAGUGUCACUGAAACAAUCUUACACCCAUUGACACAGCAGCAGCAGCAGAACCAAUCCAUUCGGGGUAAUUUCCUUACUCAGCUCAAGUUGCUAGUGCAAGGCAGUUAAAUUAUGGAGAGAAAGUCGGUAACAACAUGCUCUUGUUCUGCCAACACGAGCACGCAUGUUACCUCCAAUCCAUCCACAAAUUUAGUACGUAGUACGUUUUGCUGUAGGUUCCGUGCACUACAGAGCCAACGAACCCAACCACAACAGCAGCAGCAGUUCAGGAGCUUGAUGAUUUAACCAGAACAAAAACUCAAUGCAAUCAUCCAACGUCCCGGAAUUGCUAGGUUAAAGCUCAAAUGAACAAUGUAUAAUUUCAGGGCACUGUAAAAUUCCACCUACAACCAACCAACAAAACAAUUGAGGUGUCACCAUCAUACAGGCACAAGCAACCAAGGAAAAGAUCCUCCUCUGGUUGCAUGGUUUUUGCACCGGUCAUGCAAAACCAUUAACCUGAAUGAUUGCAUACACAAUAUGCUCCCAGAUUGCUUUUUGCAAGGAAAAGAAAGCAUUUCCAUAUCUUGUCUUCAAGGACAGGAUAACCUUCUUAUCUUAUAUGCAAACAUUAUCAGAAAAGCAUGCAGAUGCAAGAUGUAGAUUGGCACAACAACCCUUAAACCACAAUCAUGUUUUUUUUAGGUAAUGCGCAAACAUCAUCCAUCACAACGGGGAAAGGAAAUUAGCACACCGAACAAAGCAAAGCAAAGCAAACCUCAGAGAUUUUUACACAUAGUCCUCCCUAAUCUAUUCUCAUCUCAUGUAACUUGCUUAAUAUCCAUCACAUAACUAACAGCACGUACCAAGCAUGGAAAAACAAGCUCACUACAAUUACAUAACAACAAAGCUCACUACAGUUAUUACAGAACAAAGCUUAUAGAAACGUGGGGUGGUCACUAACUAGCUAGCUAAAGCGGGCGUACCAGCUUGCUUGUCCGGG
rnacentral:lncRNA from 1 species